UUGUUCCAGUAAGAAGCCUAGCUGCUGCAUUUUGGACUAAUUGAAGUCUAGCAAGGGUAGAUUGGUUCAGACCUAAAUACAGAGAGUUACAAUAGUCCAGCCUAGAUGUAACAAAAGCAUGGAUUACAGUUUCUAAGUCAGUAUAUGAGAGCCAGGGCUUUAAUUUAGCUAUUUGUCUUAGUUGAAAAAAUCUUCCCUUAACCACACUACUGACUUGCUUAUUGAAAUUCAAAGAGGAAUCUAGGAAAACACCUAGAUUUCUGACCUCACUGUGGCAAUUUACAGCCAGUGGCCCAAGUGCAUUUCUUAUCUUAGGAACAGAGCUGAGUGGACCAAAAAUAAUUAUCUCUGUUUUCUUUUCAUUUAAUUGUAAGAAAUUUGCAGCCAUCCAACUCUUUGUCAUUAGGGGAGAGUGGGGUGAUUGGUGCCAGCGGGGAAGUUGUGCCACCCCCUAUUUCUAGGGAACCAUAGAAAAAAUUGGUCAUGUGACCACACAUUUUUGAAGACUCAGCCAUUUCAAUCAUCCUGCAGAGAAGAGAGCCUCAUUGCAUGAGAGGAUGUGAUUGGUUUGGAGCCUUUAAAGCACGCCGUCAUUUGUCAUGCCACACUCCUGAAGCAACCUCUGUUGGUAGAGCUACUGCCAUUAAUAGGCACAACAUGGGGGAGUUAUUUGAUAACCUAAAGUGAUGGACAGGUAGGACUUCCCUCCACACAAGAUCUACAACAUGGAUGAAACUGGUGUGACAACCGAAAAUUACCUUUGAUGUGCU